rnacentral:sRNA from 1 species
AGUGAAGAGCCUCUUUAUGCUGACUGGUUAGAGUGAUUUUUCUGUAUAUAAGGAGCUAAGAAAUGAACCAAUGUGCCCAGGUUUUAGUUGUUUCCCUUCUCAUUUUGGUCAAGAUGAACGAUGUAUCGAUGGACCCCAGCUUUGUCAAGAGAUAUGUAGCAGACCUUACAUUACCUGAUUUACUGGCAAAGAUGGCAAACAAAUGUGCACACGUUAAUUGUCGUUUCAAGGACCUUAUGAUACACGGAAAACGACGUAAACGCAACGAUCUUUUGCGGUCCUACUAUACCUGCUGUAGAUAAGGAAAGGGAACAAAAUAAAAUGAUGUAAUAUUUUGUAGAAUAAAGUUCACACACCUGCCUCCU